UCUUCCAGAGGGAACGCUUCAGUUGGCAAAAAUAAGUAAAAUACUGAUGGCGUGUGAACAGGGCAGAUUGGCAGAGUUCAAGGGGAAAACUCUGGAUCAAAUAACCAUCAGUCCCAGUGGUAAGUUUACCCCCAGUGUUUAGUUUAAUGGCAAAAUGUUUACACUUUGAUUUGUUUUGCGCAGAUUUAGCUUGCCUCAAUUUACCAUUCUUCCUUUGGCUGUCUUUUACAAACUGUUAUGUCUGAAGAAAUGGAUGCUGCAGCCACUGAUUGCGCAUCAGAGAGUGACUCUGAGAGAGAGGAGUCGUCUGAAAAAUCCUAUGAAGGAAAUCUGACAGGAGAGAUGUCAGCAAUUCGGGCCAAACAGCCAAUGACCAAGGGAAAGCUGGGACAAAAGAGAGGCUCACACGGUGCCAAAGGAACAAAAAGG